rnacentral:tRNA from 1 species
GGUCGGUUAACUCAGCUGGUAGAGUGCCACCUCGACAUGGUGGAAGUCGUAGGUUCGAGCCCUAUACCGACCACCA